rnacentral:lncRNA from 1 species
AUCAAGUCAUACCUGGGGCCCUGGCUCGUGCUUUGCUUUCAGUCUCUGAACUCAGUCUUUGGGGAAAAGACUUUUACUUCUCCAGCUCUGUCCCUUCUCUCAAGUACGUGUGGUUCACUGUCCCCAGACUAGAAGGAGUUUGUUGUCUCUGCCCAUCAUUGACUGAGGUGAAUGGGAUGUUCCUCCACCAGAUGUCCAAGCUCUCACCUCCCUGGACCUGCUCUGAAGUUAAUACGUACGGGAAUCCAUGCAGGUUGAAGCAGUUCUCAACUGGAAGAGGUCUGUACAUCUACAGAGUUGGGAUGUACUGGGAUCAGCAUCUGGGAAGUGGCACACUUAUCACUCCAGAUCUAGAUUCUCUGUGGAAGGAACUGAUAUUGUGCUCCAGAGUGAUUUUCUCUGCUUCUCUCUACCUUUAUCUUGGGCACUGCUAGAGUUACCUACUGGAUACAUCCAGAUAUUUUGUCCAAGUUUAAAAGAGGUGGGUGUAACUUGCUUUUCCACGUGCUUAUGAAAAUUGAUAUGAAUGCUUUUUAAAAAAAAAUCCACAGGGAUUUCCUCUUUUCUCCAAAA